rnacentral:snRNA from 1 species
ACUGCUUCUCGGCCUUUUGGCUAAGAUCAAAUGUAGUAUCUGUUCUUAUCAGCUUAAUAUCUACUACAUCCUCUGUCCAAGACUAAGAGCUAAAUCCUAGGAUUAAGAGAAAAAUAGCCUUG